rnacentral:sRNA from 1 species
AGUUUAAAUCCAUUGUUUCUGGCCGGGUAUGGUGGCCCGGCACUUUGGGAGGCCAAGGUGGGAGGAUCACCUGAGGUCAGGAGUUCGAGACCAGCCUGGACAACAUGGCUGGAAGCGCAAUUCAUUGACCCCGAGGACAACUGUUUUCCCUUGCCCUGGCUGUGAGCAUGAUGUGGAUCUUGGAGAACGAGGAAUCAAUGGUCUGUUUCGAAACUUCACUUUGGAAACUAUUGUGGAAAGAUAUCGUCAAGCAGCUAGGGCAGCCACAGCCAUUAUGUGUGACCUUUGUAAACCACCACCUCAAGAAUCCACAAAAAGCUGCAUGGACUGUAGUGCAAGUUACUGCAAUGAAUGCUUCAAAAUUCAUCAUCCUUGGGGUACUAUAAAAGCUCAACAUGAGUAUGUUGGUCCAACUACUAACUUUAGACCCAAGAUUUUAAUGUGCCCAGAACAUGAAACAGAGAGAAUAAACAUGUACUGUGAAUUAUGUAGGAGGCCAGUUUGCCAUCUAUGUAAGUUGGGUGGUAAUCAUGCCAACCACCGUGUAACCACUAUGAGCAGUGCCUACAAAACCUUAAAGGAAAAGCUUUCAAAGGAUAUUGAUUACCUUAUUGGUAAGGAAAGCCAGGUG